GACAGAGGGUGCAAACGUUGUUCGGAAUUACUGGGCGUAAAGCGCGUGUAGGCGGCCAUGCAAGUCGGAUGUGAAAGCCCUCGGCUCAACCGGGGAAGUGCACUCGAAACUGCAAGGCUAGAGUCUCGGAGAGGAUCGUGGAAUUCUCGGUGUAGAGGUGAAAUUCGUAGAUAUUGGGAAGAACACCGGUGGCGAAGGCGGGUCUCUGGGCCGAAAUUGACGCUGAGGAGCGAAAGCGUGGGGAGCAAACAGG
rnacentral:rRNA from 1 species